rnacentral:lncRNA from 1 species
GUCCAAAUAGCUUAGAGAACUUGAGAGAAUCCCUAUAUGUGGGGAGAGAAGAGAAAGUCCCCACUGCAUGGGGCAGCAGCACUCAGGAAUCUGAAGGUCAGAUGCAUUAGGGAGGGAGAGCUAGCAGGGGAGGAAGGGAGUCGAGAGCAGGAUCCAUGUUUACCUCUGGGAAACAAAAUCAUUGGAGAAACAAACCAGAACUUUCCAUAAAGCCUUUCUGUUUACACUUGGAAGAACCCAGAAGCAAAGGCAGUGUUCCCAGGAGUCUACAGGUGCCAUGUUGCUACGUUUGGAUUUUUCCAAGGAAGUGUCUGGAGGCAACAUUGGCCUGAUGUUCUGGCACCAGCUUGGAGAGAACUGCCCUCCGGCCCCUAUUUCACAGGAUUGGCUAUUUAUUUGUUUAUUGGUAAAUUCAUGUUAACAGAAAUAACUACGUAUCUAACAGUUCAGAGUGAUCCAGAAGUUCUUCUCAUGCUCUGUGCCAAUUUUACUUUCUCCUUGUGUCCUUCUAGACCUCCUCCUCCACCUUGAUGGUUGAAGUCGUUUCAGCAGUUCCUCAAGAGCUGCUUUAACCACGAGGAGGCAGAGUGGAACAUUCUUCUCUUUCAUGAUGUCCCAAACAAGUUGCCACAUGGUAGCCCUGGUCUGAAGGAGAUCCAGCAUAUAAGGUUGGCAUCCCACCCAUUAAACAUGGUCUUUGUCAUGAAGACAUUUUCUGGUUGAGACCUCUUGACAUGUUGGUGUUCCCUUUGGUGACCAGAGACAGUCAAGUCUCCUGAGAUUCGUUUCAUGCUAUUGAGGGGUGACCAUAUCUUGAAGCACUGUGGUUGACAGUUGUGUCACAAAGUUAUCAGUCUUCUGUAAUCUCUGCCUGUAUCAUGACAGAAGGAGGAUGUUGUCCUCUUAUCACAGGUCAGUGUGGUAAUCAUAGCUGAACCAUUUAAUGGUAGCAGAAUUCUGUAGGCUUUGGUUGAUAGCAGGUCACUCAGUGCAGGGAGAAUACUCCUUCCCAGCUCUGGUUCUGGGAUUCCAGGACACUGCCAAUGGAACAAGACUCAGUGUCCAAAACCAUGCAAAAGGGGAAGUGUGGAUCCAUUAAAAAGAAACUGGAAGAAAAGAAACUGGAUUCGUCUUGAGUUGUAACCCCAAGGUGGCUGUAAUUUUUCCUGCACGGUUUCCCAGCAAACUAUAAAUAAAUCAAACCAUCAGAAUGGCAUAUGGAGCUUUACAACUGGACCCUGGCACCAGGAAUGUGCCUGGCUGACAUUUUCUUAAGAUAAAAAGGUACAAAUUGGCUAAGAUAAAGUCAUUUUUCCAUAUAUGUGUAUAUUCUUUUCUUAGCCAAAUUGCAGGGAUCCACUUGAACUUCACCCCUGCCACCCAGCCCGGAGCUUCUCAGUAAGUCCCCUAAUAAGUUGCCCUCUGUGCCAUCCUGGAUCUGUCUGCCUCUUCAGUCUCAUGGCACCUGGGGCCAGUUCUCCUUCCGUGGGACCAGGUUGUUCCAGAACACUCCCUUAGGACAAGGAAAGUGUGACAUACAAGGAAGGAGAAAUCACUGGAGGCUGGAGUGGGCUGGGGUGUUCAAGAGAAGAUGUCAAGAAAAUGCAGGUAUGUGAGCUAAGCCUGGUAUGCCGUGGUGGGGAGAGAAAUUCAUUGGAGCAUUGCAGAAGCACUGAUAUCCAGGGAGGUGCAUUAGGAAACAAAAAUGUUUUCAUGAAUCAUGUGAUGCUGGCUGCUGGACUGAAUUCUUAUGUAUGUGCCAAAUUUUCAUGUUGAAACUUGACCCCCAAUGUAGCGAUAAUAGGAGGCAGCACCUUUGGAAGGUGACUGGAUCAUGAAGGUAGAAUCCUCAUGAAUGGGAUCAGUGUCCGUAUAAAAAUGACCUCCCAGAACUUUCUUGCCCCCUCCCUGCCAUGUGAGGGUACAAUGACAAGGCAGCACCUGCAGGUCUGGAAGAUGGACCUCACCAGAAUGCAACCAAGCUGGCACCCUGAUCUUGGACUUGUAGUCUCCACAACUGUGAGAAAUAAAUUUGUUGUUUGUAAGCCACCCAGACUUGGGUACUUUGUGAUAGCAUCACUCUGCUUUUAUCUCUCAUCUCUUACUUUUCCUCUUUCCCGUGUGUUUUGCCUCUUGCUUCUCCUUUGCACAUCUUAAGUCAUUCAGCAGUGACCAGAGGCCCAGCUAUCA